AACCUUUUGCAAUUCAUUAGCAUGAUAUUGGGUUUUCAUUACUAUUCUAUGAGAUAUGCCUCCCUCAAAACUUGUUACAACAUUGGCACACUACCCUUCUGAUG